CAGCGCUUUGAUAUAGGAGAGCAUGAUUUGCAAUUCAACUGUUUCCAUGAGUUCAGGAAGUGGUGUUAUUCAUUUCAAUCCCACAUCAUUUCGUAGUUUGAAAGUGGUGUUAUUUUAUAUGCUAUGUGUCCUCUACUUCCUUUGGAUCUUCAAUUUUUUACCAUCAUACAAACUGAUGCUUUUUAUUUGAUAAUUGGGAGUCGGUGAGUGUCGAGUAUACAAGCUAUGCAACUUUUUUUUGCCUAAUAUCACAAUUAUUAUUAUGAAUUAAUCAAACAUGCUUUGUGUUUCAUAUUGCUCCAUUCAAAACUCAUUUGGAUAGAAAUCAAUGUAAUGAUGUAAUGUAAUUGGUCUAUUUGGGUAACAGAACUUGAAUUAAUCAAACAUGCAAGUUUAUUGAACGUUUGUUGAAGAUUUCUUCAUGCAUAACAUCACUACCACAAUUUUGAGUUUUAAUAGCGCCCAUUUAAUAGAACUUCUUUAAAAAAUGCUAUUAAAAAUUCAAACAGAGGUUAACAAAAGCACUUUUUCGUUGGCAGCUAUUAUGGGGCAUCCCCUAUAAUAUCGUUUUAUGAGUAACGCUAUUUUAAUGUACCAGCGAAAUAUUCUAAUAGCGUUUGUUGGCUAAAUGCUAUCAUAGAUGAAUACUGCUUUGUUAGCACUCUUUGAAGAAACGCUAUUUUAAAGGCUAUAAAUAUGCGGGUUUUUUUUAAAAUAAAAAGAUGCGCAACAUAUAUUUUUUAUUUCGCUCUCAAUCUCACUCCCCCAUAACUCCACACAAUUUUCCAUUUUGUAACUCACUCACGCACUCAAAGUUCUUCUUCCAACCCACUAACUCACUCACCUGAAGCCUUCUUCCAUCGUACCAUACUCACUCACAAAAUCACCAUCGUAGACAGAACACCUAAAAGCUAAACCGAUUGAACCCUACAAACAUAAUUAAGGGUUUCUGAAACAAAAGGGCUCCUUUGUGCGCGUUCAUCUUCAAGCUUUACUCUCUGGAAAAUUUUGGGUAAUCACCGUACUUUACUUCCUUUGUCGUUGGCUUAAUCGUUAUUAUCUAAUUCUCUUAUUAUAAUACCUAAUUUGGAGAAAAACAUGAAAACUAGGAAGUGGAUUUGUAAAUUGAAAUGGAAAGAUAAUCUGAAAAACCCUUUGUUCCAAAUUUCGUGUUGUCUCAUAGUUAGGUUUUUCCCUCUUUUGAAUUCUGAGGAUAAGAUUUAGGUCAUUUGAUUUUACUAAAUUCUUUCCAUCUUUUGAACUUAGAAGAAAUGUGAUUUUUCUGAAAUUAUUUUAAGUUGUGUAUUGCUAAAUAUUCUAAAGAGUGGCGUUCUGAUUAUCUUAUCAAUACAAUUGUGAAGGUUGUAGUGUUUUAACAUUGUACCAAAUGGAUAUUGGGAUGCCUUGAAACUCUAAUGUAUACAUGAAUUGAUAAUUGUGUGUACAUGUCAUUUAAAAUGAUUUGAUUUAAUGUAUUAAUCGAAUUCUAUGUGAGGCUAGUGGUGAACACAAUCAUUGAGAAAAAGGUAAAUAUUUUUCCUUUCCUUCCACGUUUCGGUAGUGUAGUUGUGGCUGCUUGGAAUUGGUCUUCAGUUUGUGCAUCUGGUGUGUUCUGCUAACGUUGCAGGGAUGUUUGGAGUGAAACAACAUGCAGAAUUCUGCAGUAGUGGAUCAGAUUUGUGUUGUUUUGUUGUCUCUGUUCUGUUUUAGGGUGGGAGUGAUCUAGCAUUGCUUGUGGUGUUUCAUCAUUUGGAGUCAAUUGGGGGUUCACUUGUGUCGAUUUUCUGAUCUGCCAGUAGUGUUGGUUCGAGGGCGGCGAAUUCGGAUUAUGUUACCUCUUCAUAAUCUACUUCAAUAUGUACAAUAAAUUGGUACUUAUCACUCCCUUUACUCCUAUUCUUUUCAUAAGAUCCAUUUCUUAAUGUUAUUUUGUGUAAUUAUUGUUUUGUUUAUUUUAUUUUAUUAUUUUAUGAUGCUUGUUUGCAUUGUGAAACAUUGUAUGCAGCAGUGAUGAAAAUUUUGAAUAGGAGCAUUUAGGGUUUUGAACUUGGUGUGAUUUUCGUUGUAGGUUUUGAAGGUUUGUCUUUUCCUUGUGACUGUGAUUGUAGUUGAAUUUGCUAUUGGAACUAUUCUUGUAACCUUUGUGUGGGUUUUGUAAGGGAGCUAAAUCUAUUAUUAGUUAUGUUUUUAUUAAUAAUCAAGUUGAUUGUGUGUGCUUGUGUGUGUGUUAUUUGUUUGCAUCUUGCAGCGAUAUCACCACUCGCUGUCGUGCAUACUUUGGAGACCAAUAUUAGUCCUAAAUACAAUUGUUUUUUCUUUACUCCGACACUCCUUACACCGGUGUCCGACACCUAUAUAACACUCAUACGAGACAUAUCAGACAACUGAGACAUUUUUCUGAAACAUUUUUUCUCUCUCUUGCUUCCACACAACAUAGAUACAAAAGUUAAAUAUAUGUUGAUAAAUGUUCUAUAAUUAAGUCCUUGAAAUACCCAUUGUCUCAUUUCAGAUGACUUGGAGAUGACACUAUUUCUGUAGUAAUUUUAGUUACAAAGAUCUUCAAAAAGUAAGUUUCAUACUCUUUCAUUUUUAAGGAUUUAAGCGUUUACACUGACAUUAUUUUGUACUUCUUAGAAGCUUAUUUUGGAUUUAAAUUUUGGUUUCUAAUAUUGAUUUGAGAGAUCUGGUUUUUUUUAAAUUAUACUUAGUUCAUAUUAAAAACUAAAACACAUUGCUUACAACAUUUUCGGUCUGUAACAACGGCUGAAAAGCGUUGCCUGAUUCGUUAAAAGCGUUGCCAUAUCUUACGACAAUGCUUUUUCAGCGUUGUAGUCUAAGGCGUUGCCUUUUCUUCUAACAAAGGUAUUAUUGUAUAUAGGUAAUUGCAACAGAUAAAGGCCGUUGCCAUAGCCGUUAAAGAGAAAAGAUAUAACCGUUGCCAUUGAUUCUAGAAAGUAAAAUUAACUGUUGUUGUUAGCAACACUCUAAAUUCUAUGCUAUUAAUGAGAACAACUAAAAAAGUUGCCAUUGAGUUUUGAGAACAAUUUAAUACUAUAUUACUUAACAGUUAACAUGAAUCAAAUAUUUAUACGUAAAAUGAACCAAAUUAAAUAUCAAACUAAAAUCAAUCGGUUUCAUAAUGUAUAUCAACAAUUUGGCAUUUCCUUUAAUGUAUUACAUCAAAGAAACUAGGAAUUACUUUUAUUAAGCAAACACCAUUAAAUAAGCUCUAUAUAACUAAUAAUGUUGAUCCAAUAUAAAAUAUGAGUACUUAGACCUUAGUAUCAUACACCAAUCAAUUCAAAUCACAUUCCCUUUACUUUGAUGUACACAUAACCAAGUAUCCAUCUUCAAGUUUUCAUCUUCAAGUCUGCAUAUUAGCUUUUAAUCUUAACCUACAAGAAAUAAAAAGAAUCAUCUAAUGACAGAGUUAAUCAAGAAAAUAAAAUAAAUAAAAUCUAUGUGAUGAAAGAAACUAACCAUCAGGAAAAUAAAUAAAGAAGGAAUAUCUAAUUAUCAUGAUAUAUAUGUCAUAUCUAAUUAUCUAACAAGUAAAUUGAUGAAGGGACAAAACCACUUAGCUUAACUUAGAGACUAUAGUUUAUCUUCUAAUAAUUACUUAUAAUAAGACCAUAUUCUGAUAGCUAUACUAAUGGUAUAUUAGCCAUUGAAUAUUUCAACUUUUCUAGAGUAACCAAACUAAUCAAAUGCACCAGCACGGGAAACUUAAUAAACACGACAUAAUGAACAAACCUGAUUCGCUAGAGAUGCGGAGUCGAUCCAAAUGUUUAGUGAAGAAUCUGCAGAGAAAUCUGAAGCGUAAGAGAUUCCACGAGAAAGUUCAAAGUUAGUUUAGAAUUCUCAUUUUCAUUUAGCCAAACUUAAAUAUCACAAUGCUUAUUCUCAUAUCAUAGCAUGGUGUACUAAUCAAGAAAAAAGGUAGAAAAAGGAAAAAAAAUCAUUCAACUUAAAAUCAAAUCAGAAUCAACUUAACCUAGAAAAUGACAAUUGCUUAAGAAAAGUUAAGAAUCAACUUAAAUUUAUUAGCAAUAAAAUAACAACAUCAACAAUGAGGUUAAAAUUAUUACAACUACUUCAGAGCAAAGGUUUCUUGACCAAAACAUAUGUACAAAAGUAACACACAUCUACUACAAACAUCCAGCAAUACUAGCCUAAACCGACCCUCACAUACCACUCCAGCACCAAAGGACCUCCAAUAUCUCCUCCAACAAGAACUGAUACACCAAUCAACACUUGAAGAUGAUGAAACAACUAAAAAUCAACAAGAAAAGUUAAUAAACAACUUAAAAUCAAAUCAAAUGUAUCUAAAUUAACCUAUAAAUAUCAAAAUUAAGAAUCAACUUAAAAUUAGUAAGCAAAAUUAAGAAUUAAAUUAACAUCAAAGCAGAAAAUCAAAUCCCUAUAUAGAGAUACGGCAAAAUAGAUACGGAAAAACAAUCCGACCAAGAACCAAUCAGCCCCUAAACAAAUAAACACCUGACAAUCCAACCAAUUUAUAAUCUCAUAUACUUAAAAUGAUACUAUCUCCAACUAACCAACUUGUAGUAGAAAACUAGUUAAAGUAUAAGGACUGGCAAACAUUGAAGAGAUUUCGAAAUAAAGAACAAAUAACUUGCCUUUUCAUGCUUAAUUGUGUGAGUUAGCAGAAGAAUAACUUGACCCCCAAAACCUGCUCCAAUUUUCCUAAAAUAUUAAACGUUACAUCAAUCACCCAUAAUUAAAAAAAAAAAAAAAAAAAAAAAAAACAGAAAUGGAAGAAGUUGAAGCAUAAAAACACCUACAUUUUUCGAUUGAUGUUGAAUCGAUCGAGGAAGUGAAACUCCAUGAAUCAAAUAUGUGCUCUAUCAGUGAAGAAGAUGGUGAAACAGCUCAAAAUCAGCAAGACAAGUUAAUAAGGAAAAGGAACUGCAUACCGCAAAAUAGAAUCAACAUAGCAUUAAAUCAGAAAAUCAAAUCCCUAAACAAAGAGAUAAGACAAAAUAGAUACGGAAAAAGAACUACAUACCACAGAUUCACGAGAAACUAUAAAUCAAUACAAACAUAUAAAAAAGUUACAAAGCACACCCUUAUCGUAGAAAGAGAACUAGAAUGAAGAAAAUCUGAAACAUAUCAUAUACACAUAGAUUAAAGAAUAAAGACUAUAUUCCGUUGUGAGACUUUUUAGUUGUGGCUUAGACAUUUGAUUGUUAGAUACUACAAUACUUUAGUUGUGAGACUAUUAUUGAAAAGGGAAAAUAAAAAAUAUAAACACAAUUAAAAAUGUGUUACUUCAAUCAUCCACAACAAAACAAACAAAAAAUCUUGAAGUUAAGUUCGGUCUAGGUGCCUAACUUAAACACCACAAUUCUCACUUCAUAUCAUUUUAUACUAAUCAAUUAUGAUGGCUUUUGGAUCUCUCUUUGGACUGCCACUAGCAAAGCCAUGUCAAACAUGUGUAGCUAACAAAAAGAUUUGAAAGAAAAAAGGUAAAUAAUAAUAACAAUCAUUCAACUCAAUAUCUUCAAGGUUCGAAUCACAGGAUUAUAAGGGUAACAUCGUCAAUGCCACCACAAUCUAACAUGGACCAUCCAUAAUUUCUACGUCGACAUAGCUUCAUCCAAGCCCCUCUAGAAAAUGAAGUAAAUUAGAUUGUGGUAAGUAGUUAAAUUAUAUAUUUAUGGAUAAUAGAACAUACUAUGUUAGAUAAUUCGUAAAUGAUCAAGAAACCUCAAAAUAUAAAAACUGAUGCAAUUUCUGAAAGAGAAACGACACAUAUACAACAUUACAGAGAAGUGAAGAGAGAACCAUACCUAAGUAGCUUCAACAUCAGCAAAGUCCUACGGCCGCUUUCCAUUGAAUUUCAUUCCUUAGAUAAUUUCUUUCGACAAAACAACCACCUGAUGCAAUGUAAAUCAACAUUCUAGAAAGUUAUUUGAUCUGUAAUUAGAUUGCUCGUACCCAAACUAUAAGAGUGAAGUGGACUACAAGAUUACUACUAAAUCAUGCUUACUUUAACAUAUGUACUUAAGAAUUUAAGGUACUUAUUAAAAAAAAUUCCAGAUUUGAAUUGUUUGUGCUUCAUUAAUAAUAAAUAACUAUGAGAAACUUACCAAAUCACAGUUCUAAACAAAUAGAAACCUCCAUAUGACCGUUGUCUGGGUCAAAAUUGUACCUUCUGUAAUUUAGGGAUUGCAGCGAGAACACUCUGAAGUGCAGCCACAAACUCUUAUUCUAAAGACGAGCAUAUUCACGAGUCGUCUUUUCACACUCCUCUGGAGAGUCGGAGCGUCGUGGACAGAGAAAUCUGAAGAAAAAUCAAAGUCAGUUCAGAACUUUCAUUUUCAUCCAGCCAAACAUAAAUAUGACAAUUCUUAUUCUCAUUUCAUAUCAUAAUCUACUAAUCAACAAAAAAAGCAGAGAAAGGAAGAAAAUUUCAAUUGCAUCAAAUCACAAGAGUAUAAUUUCAAUUUCAAUUGCAACAAAAAAAGGAGAGAAAUAAGGUUGCAUCAAUAAAUUAGAAACUAAUAAAUCUUAGUGUCAACUUAAAACCAAUAAGCCAAACAUAAACAUCAGAAAAUGAAGAAAUUGUUAAUUUCAUCAAAUUAGAUCAACUUAAAACCAAAUCAGAAUCAAUCUAAAAAUGUCAAUUGCUUAAGCAAAGUUAAGAAUCAACUUAAAAGUUAAAAUCAAAUUAGAAAUAUCAAUUGCAUCAAGUCGGAAUUAACCUAGGCUUAUCAAAUGAUAAUCAGAUUUAGUUUCAAAUCAGCUUAACUUAACAUCACAAUAAAUCUAGAAAUAUCAAAUCAGAACUAACCUAAAAAUUUCAAAGUUAAGAAUCAACUAAAAAUCAGUAUGAAAAUUGAAGAAUCAACUUAGCAUCAAAUAAGAAAAUUAAAACCCUAAACAUUGUAGCUAUUGCAAAAUAGAUACCCAAAGGAACUACAUACCACAUAUAUGAACGAUUCGCGAGAGAUGGAUACAGGAGAUUGAGAUUCACAAAUUCGUGUGGAGAAAUCAAUAGAGAUACAAAUUCCAUCUCAAAGCCAUUUGAAUGGAAUUCAAUUGUGAUGAAGAAUUUGAUAAGUACGAUGGUAAUGAAAAACGUUUAUGAUGAAGAUGUGAGGGUGAAAGCGGUGGAAUGAUUCUGACGAAUAAGCGAUUUUGAUUAAGCGAUUUUGAUGGAGCGAUACUGAUUAAGCGGUUAUGUGAGUGUGAAGUGAAAAAUAGAUCUGAAAUAAAAAGAUGAAAAGUAUAAAAUAAAAGAAUUAAAAAGUGAAAAUAAUAUAAUUAAGUAGUAUUAAAAAUAAAACAUUUUUCUGAUUAUUAGAGAAAACAACUAACACUACACCAAUUAAAAUUUGUUGUCUUAGCCAUAUUACAUAACGGUUUUUUCUUGGUCUUUAAAAGUGGCAUUGCAGUAGAUCAUAAUUGUUGUAGUGUUAAGAUCCUUGAUUGAUUAAUUCAUUGAUUCAAACUUGUCAAAUUUAAGGACAGAAUACCUAGAUCCUUGAUUCAUAUUCAUAGUUAUCAAGUUUUUUACCUUAUGAAUGUACAACUUAUUCCACUAAAAGAUAUGUUCACAUUGCAACAUAUCUUUUUUUUUCUUCUCUUUUCAUUGUAAGUUGUUUUACUUAAUUGAACCCAUGUCCGACAGGAAGGAUAGAAAUUUUCUAUGGGGAAUGGAAUGUUCUACAUGGUACUAACUUCUAAAACUGUAGAGAAAAUAUGGUGAAUGUCUUUAAAACACCUUGGAGCCUAGAUUACAUUCACAAAACCUUAUACCUUCUAAAUUAUACUUAGUUCAUCAACUGUGAUUUCUGCAACUGCUAAUUUUUACUGCUUGUUUUGUCUAUGUGAACAUUGUCAUUACUCUUAAAGUAAUGAUAUGAUUUGUGAUUGUUCUUUGCAACUCAAAGUUGAUAAGAUUAAGCUAAUUGAAGUAUUUGGUACAUAUGAAUCUUAAUUUUCAAGUGUAAUUGUUGUGUAUGUACAAUAAAUCUCCAAUGUACAAUGGGUUUAUUAGGUUUGUGAGUGCUAUUAAUGAAAUGUGACUGAUGUAAUUUUGCUUUUAUGAUGAGGGAUGUCAUUUCCAUACUUGUAAUUGGAAUUUGAGUUGUAUUUUGUUUUUAGGUUCUUUUAUAAUAAAUGAAUUAUAUAAUGUUUUUUUUUAUGAUUAAAGCAGGUGAUUUUUAUGAUUAAUGAAAUUGAUUUUUUUAAAAAUAUUUACUUUCUAUUAUAUCAAAAUUUAUAUAUUUUUUUAUAUAAAAAAGGCCUACGAUAGCACUCUUUUUAAAAAUAAAAAUAAAAACUAUUAAAUCCAUUUGAAAAAGACUCACUAAACUCCGCACCGAAGUUGGAAUGAUAGCACUUCGAGGGAAGAUGCUAUUAAAGACAUGCACUUUUAAUAGCGUUUUAAAAGUGCUAUUAAAUGUUGUAUGCUUACAAUAGCGGGGGCUUCAAUAGCACUUUUAAGUGCUAUCAAAGGCUAAAAAAAGUGCUAUUAUAUCCAUUUUUUGGCAUAUAGAGAAUUUCCACGCGUUUGUGAAUUGAUACUGAAGGUGUUUUUGGAUUUUGGUUUUGUUUUUGUUUUAGAUACAGUUGUAGAGAGUGUAAGAAGAGCUCUUCAAUACAAUGAUAUUGGUAUUGAUGUAAGCAAAUUUUGUUUUUGGAUUCCUAAUUGUAUUUGGAUUCAUACAUGGUUUAGAAAAUAAUUUUGUUUCCGCUUAUAUGUAUACAAUAAAGCGAUUAAACAAUUUGCUGAAGAAGGCAUGUCCAGUUGAUAAAAAUUACUAUAGCAUUUUUAAGGCUAAAAUAUGGUUUUAGUCCCUGCAAAUAUGCCUCGUUUUGGUUUUAGUCCCUAUAAAAAAAAAAUUGUUUUUGGUCCCUGCAAAAUUUUUUGUUUUUGAAAAUAGUCAUUGACCCCACUUUUGUGAUGAUUUGCAUACGUGAUACAUUAUAGCUGAACUAAUUUUGUAGUUUUUGGUCCCUGCAAAAUAUUUUGUUUUUAAAAAAGGUCCCUGCAAAAUUUUUUUGUUUUUGAAAAUAGUCCCUCAGGGACUAUUUUCAAAAACAAAAAAAUUUUGCAGGGAUCAAAAACAAUUUUUUUUUUUUUUUUACAGGAACUAAAACCAAAACGAGACAUAUUUGCAGGGACUAAAACCAUAUUUUAGUCCAUUUUUAAUACAACAACAACAAUCAAAUCUUAUCAUAUCAAGUGGUUCGGCUACAAGGAUGAAAAAGAUCGGUCCCCAUUUAUGUUGAAAGAUUAAUUAGGGAUAACAAAAUUCAACAACAAAAAUGUGAAGAUGAUAUGUUAACUAUAUAGUUUAUAAUGUUAACCUUCACCCAAGAAAACAAAAAUAUGGUAACAAUGAUGUCUCUCACGGUAAAAAAGAUAGUAACCGUACUUUACUAUUUUAUAGUGAAACUCAAAUUAACUUUUGAGAAGGUUUUUGGUCUUGAUAUUUAUGGACAAAGUUGAUACACUGGUACUGCAAGCACACCUUGAUAAGGUUUAUCUACUAUUCCCUUUUCUUCCACAAAGAAAGCAUGUUGUUUCUUAUUCAAAUAAAAUUUCUUAAUUGAUCCAAGGACUUAAGUGUAAUUGUUCAUCCCUUUUCCUAUAUAUUCCGACGGCCAACAACACUUUCAACACAAACCAACUCCAUUUGAAAACUUCUUCCUCUCUCAUUACCUUUUGAAUGAAUGAAAAAGAAAAAGAAAGCUAAAAUUCCUACCAUUCAACAACCAUGAUUUACACUAUCUCUUUUAAUUACAAAACUCCUAUCUCCCUCCUCUAUAAAAUCCACUAAAUUAUUUUUAGAUGGAAGAGAUCUCAAUAUAUAUUUUAACCACCGAGUCCUAUGAAUCAAUGUUUGAAUUGAUAGAGAGGUAAACAAUUUUGAACCUAUUGGAUGAAUAAAUGGGUAAAAGUGUUAAUUGAAAAAAAUAGGAAUGGAAUGCCUUAAUUAACUUAAUAUAUAAUGAUCUCUUAUUUGUUUUGUUAUCUAUGACUAAAUAUUACUUAGAAUUCUCAGUCCUAUGAUUUAAUUCAAUGUUGUCUUGAUGGUUAAGUUCUGUAAGUGCUCUUAGAAUGGUAAAAAUAAUUAGGUGUAACGGCAAAUCGUCUAGGAGUUAGUUCUAUGAACACUUCUUUAAUUGGUGACAACUAAGGUACCCAUGGAAAAAUGAUGGGUAAUUUAUUUCAACCAAUGAACAUUCACAUUUUUAAUUUUAGGUGGUAUCCAUGAACUAUAUAUCUUGACCCCACCAAUAAAUUGUUCAUUUUCAUUGAUUGAGAGGUAAAUUACCCACCGUUCUUCAAAAGUAAUAAAAACAGUGAUCGGCUACACAAAGUUCUUUGGCAAGAUGAGAUUCAUCAUAGUAAGUCAGGAAUCAUGAUAAGAUUCGUGUCUAAAAUGGAUACAUACAAUAAGUAAAAACAGUAAAGUUCAGUUUUGUUUAAAAUAAAAUGAGUACUUGUAUCAAGAUUCAUAUCACCAACUACUCAAACUAAACAUAGAAAAGUAAAAACCAAAAAAAAAACUAUAAGAAAAAUAGAAACCGAUUAGGAUAUUAUUGUUUUAAUUGUUUAAUUAUUUAUUUGUUUGUUUGAAGUGUUUCAAUUAUCGGAUUUGUUGGUUUGGGUGAAGAUCCUCUCCAUUUGACAAAAUAAAUGUAGUUUUGCAAGUUAGAGAGAGAUAGACAAAAAAAAUAGAUGGUGGGUCCUACCACUAAGUGGGUCCCAUCAUCAUUAAUUAUAUUUUACCUUUUUCAAGAUUUUAUGUGUCUUUAUCUUUCCAAAUUGAAGAAAUUGAGAAACACAUAAAUGGAGAGGAUCCUAACCCUGUUGGUUUAGAGUUGAGAAGUUAGAGGUUUUUGGUAAUUUGAAGAGGGAAGCGUAUUUUAUUAAUUUAGAAGUGGAGGAUAAUUUAGUGAGGAUAGUAGUAACUUUAAUGAAUUAAGAGAAAAGAAUAGAAGUAAUUGGUAAAAAAGGGAGUUUAGGUGACUUAAAUGGAGUAGCUUUAUUUUU
rnacentral:lncRNA from 1 species